rnacentral:rRNA from 1 species
GAUGAACGCUGGCGGCGUACCUAAUACAUGCAAGUCGAGCGAACAGACGAGGAGCUUGCUCCUCUGACGUUAGCGGCGGACGGGUGAGUAACACGUGGAUAACCUACCUAUAAGACUGGGAUAACUUCGGGAAACCGGAGCUAAUACCGGAUAAUAUAUUGAACCGCAUGGUUCAAUAGUGAAAGACGGUUUUGCUGUCACUUAUAGAUGGAUCCGCGCCGCAUUAGCUAGUUGGUAAGGUAACGGCUUACCAAGGCGACGAUGCGUAGCCGAACUGAGAGGGUGAUCGGCCACACUGGAACUGAGACACGGUCCAGACUCCUACGGGAGGCAGCAGUAGGGAAUCUUCCGCAAUGGGCGAAAGCUUGACGGAGCAACGCCGCGUGAGUGAUGAAGGUCUUCGGAUCGUAAAACUCUGUUAUUAGGGAAGAACAAAUGUGUAAGUAACUAUGCACGUCUUGACGGUACCUAAUCAGAAAGCCACGGCUAACUACGUG